rfam:Myotis davidii contig190910, whole genome shotgun sequence.
CUGUCUCUUGCUUCAACAGUGUUUGGACGGUACAG